UACGGGGGGGAGCAAGCGUUGUUCGGAUUUACUGGGCGUAAAGGGCGCGUAGGCGGCCACCGCAAGUCGACUGUGAAAUCUCCGGGCUUAACCUGGAAAGGUCAGCCGAUACUGCGGGGCUAGAGUGCAGAAGGGGCAACUGGAAUUCUCGGUGUAGCGGUGAAAUGCGUAGAUAUCGAGAGGAACACCUGCGGCGAAGGCGGGUUGCUGGGCUGACACUGACGCUGAUGUGCGAAAGCUAGGGAGCGAACGGG
rnacentral:rRNA from 1 species